rnacentral:rRNA from 1 species
GACGAACGCUGGCGGCGUGCUUAACACAUGCAAGUCGAACGAUGAAGAAGAGAAACGCGAACUUCGGUUCAAAUUUCACUUCGGAUUAGUGGCAGACGGGUGAGUAACGCGUGAGCAACCUACCUCUUACAAAGGGAUAGCCUCGGGAAACCGUGAUUAAUACCAUAUGACACAUUCAUAAGGCGUCUUAAGAAUGUUAAAGCUACGGCGGUAAGAGAUGGGCUCGCGUCCCAUUAGCUAGUUGGUGAGGUAACGGCCCACCAAGGCGACGAUGGGUAACCGGCCUGAGAGGGUGAACGGUCACAUUGGAACUGAGACACGGUCCAAACUCCUACGGGAGGCAGCAGUGGGGAAUAUUGCACAAUGGAGGGAACUCUGAUGCAGCGACGCCGCGUGAGCGAUGAAGGAAUUCGUUUCGUAAAGCUCUGUUCUAUGGGAAGAAAAGGACUGUACCAUAGGAGAAAGCCCCGGCUAAAUACGUG